AUGGCUCCGCCACAGUUGCUCGGGUGCUGCGAGUGCGAUUCCGCGUCAGCCGAGCUUAACUAGAGGAUUUGGAUGGAUAGAGGUGGGAAUUGAAUAGAAUUCGACGGAAUUGGGGAAGGAACAGCAUGAACUCAAGAAGUCCCAUAUCAUUCUCGUCUGCCUCGUUCAGAGUUGGAAAAGGUCGUAUUCACCCCGACCUAAGGUUAAUUGGAUUCGUGCGAUUGCAGCUAUGUAAGUUUGGAUGACUGUUACGGAGUAUUAAAUUUUGUAUAUUUGGAUAUUUUCUAUGAUCGUCACGGCCUUAUACCCACCUGCACGAGCUCGUAUUUGCAUAUUGCCACUUAUGCGCCAAAUGGACGUGUAUGAUCUGCAGAUCCAGCCGAGUUGAGUUCAGGCGACUAAUAGCGGCGGUGGGUGCCGGCCUCCCUUGCUCAGCUCAGCUCUGCAGGUACUCCCUUGCAUUGCACCUUCAAGUUCCCAGCCCUGGGAAUUGGCGACAGCCUAAUGAAGGCCUCACCGUCGGCAAGCAGGAGCAGGGCUCAGCUGAGCCUUACCUCUCGUUGACUGCCCUUAAUGCCGGAUUUCUGUGAAAAAGGAGUCAUUGAAUUGGAUGUUCUACAAGUGUCCUAAUAACUUUUAGGUUAGUUUGUUUCAAUUGAAUGGUGGAUGUGUUUGUUCUUGAUUUGGUCCAUUUUCUGAUUUUGCAAUGUUUGUCUCAGAAUGACGACACAUGUGCAUAAUUUCCAAAUACCUGAAGAACAUGAAGUUGUGGCAGAUGGAGUGGAUGGGACUGUUUAGAUGAGGCAACAAAUGUUUGAGGUGAGACAACAUAUAUGGGAAAUGAAGUUGAAGAUGUGAGAGCUGAAGCAACGGUGCAGGUGAAGAAGGUUUUUUAGUGUGCAAUGAAACUCAUUGUUCUAUUUUUAUGUAUUGUGCUUGGCAAACUCAUUCAACUUUGGACAUGAACAUUCACAUCUCGACUCCAAGUCUCCAAUUGAGGCAAAUUUGGCGUCCAAAU
rnacentral:lncRNA from 1 species